UAUAACUAGGCUACUAUACUAUCGGUAGCACGGAGCGCUCCGUGCUACCAAGUUGUUUUCGAUGGUGCGGCUUCCAAAUCGACGAUCGGCUCCGUUAUACUUGAUUUACACUAUUGAAAGUAUUUAGAAACUAAAUUUCAUAAUUUUUCGAUAUCAUUUACCUAUCAAACAAGUAGUCUAAAAUUGAACGGCUGAAAAUAAAAAUCUCAUAAAAAAUGAUGAUAAAAGAUUUAAAUUCAAGAUCAGAUAUACUGAUCUUACUCUAAAUAAUGAAAAGAAUUUUUUAUAAAAUUUUCAUCGCAUUUAGAUUGUUUUACACCGUUAAACUCACAAACACACCACAUCGGCUAUUAAAAUUGUCAAUUUUGAGAUCUUUUGAUCACUAGUCAAAUGAUGUCGAAAAAUUCUGAAAUUUAGUUUCCAAAUACUUUUAAUAGUGUAGAUCAAAUUUAACGGAGGCGAUCGUCGAUUUGGAAGCCGUAUCAUCGAAAAUAACUUGGUAGCAUGGAGCGCUCCGUGCUACCGAUAGCAUAGUAGCCGGACUCUCUCUCUCUCUCUAUAUAUAUAUAUAUAUAUAUAUAUAUUCAAAUCAUGUAUC
rnacentral:lncRNA from 1 species